rnacentral:rRNA from 1 species
UACGGAGGGGCGAGCGUUGUCCGAAGUUACUGGGCGUAAAGGGCGCGUAGGCGGGGUGUCACGUCCGCUGUGAAAGCCUGGAGCUUAACUCCAGCGGGUCGGUGGAUACGGACACUCUUGGAAGGCAUUAGGGGAAGAUGGAAUUACCCAUGGAGCGGUGAAAUGCGUAGAGAUGGGUAGGAACACCGGUGGCGAAGGCGGUCUUCUGGGAUGUCCGUUGACGCUG